rnacentral:lncRNA from 10 species
CUGAGAAUGAAUCAAAUUACACAAAAUCAAGAAGAAAUAGAUCUGCUGCAAGGGUAUAAACACACUUGACAUUUGUUCUCUCAUCCUCAACUCUCAAGAGAAAAUGAAACUUCGAAGAUCACUUACACACAAGCAAAUUAACCUGGUAUUUUGGAGCUGCAGCCUAUGCUUCCUCCUGCCCAAUCACUGUGGACUGUUCUCUGAACUUCAUAAAGAAGCCCCACAAGAGAAGGAGAAAAUCGUGAUGCCUCCAAACACCAGCCCAGAUGGUCACAGGGCCUGAGACCACUGAGUGCUUUUACAAGAAUUACAGCACUGUACAACCAGCAUUGUCUCAUUCACCAUCUUAUCCAUGCCCCCCGAACCAAGACAGGACUUUCUCAAAGUGGGUUUCAGAACUCUAAUCCCCUGAAAUGUUCCUCAGAAAAAUUUCCCAAGGUCCAACAAGUUUGAGAAGUGUUCUGUACUGUGUUCUCCCUCCACUCUUUGACAUUCACAGGCAGUUUAGCAAAUUCAAAGCACUGAAAAUUCCUACAAUAAGAUAGCUCUUUUGACUUUGUUCAGCUCAGAGAAUCUUAAGUGUAUCUUAUCAUAGAGCUUUAUUGAUUUAUUGAUUUAUUGAUUUAUUUAUUUAUUUUUGAGAGGGAGUUUUGCUCCUGUUGCCCAGGGCUGGAGUGUAAUGGCAUGAUCUUGGCUCAACACAACCUCCACCUCCAGGGUUCAAGCAAUUCUCCUGCCUCAGCCUCUGGAGUACCUGGGAUUACAGGCAUGCGCCACCAUGCCCUGACAUAAUAUCUAUGAAGACCUUGUGAAGUGAGCAUUCUACUGAAUAUAGAAAAUGCUGGCCCCCAUCACUGUCUGGUUCAAAUGAGAGGUGCGUGGAUUUCGCAGGCCCCCACUUUAAUUGGACAUCUGUCAGUCUCAUUAAAAUACUUGGAGUAUAGAUUUUUUUAACUGUUUUAUAAAGUGCUCUUUACUUCCAGUUCUUCAUGCCAAAAUAACCUCUUCCUUAGGGGUUUGAAAUCAGCUGGCUUCAAUCUAGAGCUGGGGCAUUUCAACAAGUCACCAAGAAACUUUUUCAUGAAGACAUUCAGAUCUACAAAGUUAAGGCAACCCACUUUUCGAAAUUAAUUUAGAACUACUUGCUGCCAUCUUUCACUACUUAGUUUAAAUACCAUGUCUGGAGAAAAUAUAUGUAAUUUGCAUUGUCAGUAUCAAAAAAAUGACAGUAAUUGUAAUUUCCAUGAGCGGAACAAUCUGUUAUAAAAGAAAUGUUAAUACUCUUAAAGUCUAAAUCCUUUACAGAAUGUGGCAUCUCUUCUGAUGUGUCUCUUGGGCUUGAAUGCUUUCCUUUAAAUUGCACUGUAUUUAUAAUUCUAUUCACAGCUCGCGACACCCCGGUUUUGAAUGUGUCUCCUGGGAUUGAUAUUUGGUGCCAUUUAUUGACGAGGCAGAAGGAGGGUGAGAGCCUUUUUAGGACUGCUGAAAGAGAGCCUGCUGAUCCUGACAAGAUCAAAAUGACCCUUGAAACCGUUUGAUAAUGGGCUGAACUCAGAGCACUUUGUUGCUCUCUCUACAUGGUGCCUUUCUGUUGCAAUGUAAGCGGCAGGAAAAGAAAGGGGAUCUGCACAAAAUCCACCCAGAAGCGGAAGUGUGCCUCUUCCCAAGCUUGAACUUCUUCAGUGAGAAAUUCUCCAUGUCCUACACAACAUUUCGAGGAACACUGCUUCCUUUAUCUCAGCCCCCGAGGAGCACCUCGAGCCUUUUCUCUCAGCGGGGAACAACCUGCCAGAAUAAUGGAAUGGAGAGUAGAGUGUUGUGUUGGAUUUCUUCUGACGCUGAUGGAGUGAGCACAUGCCGGAGGUUGCCUGUGGGUUUCCCAUCCCUUCUACAAAUGAAUUGGGCUGGGAGGGGUGCAGGGUGGCUCCUCCAGCCAGAAUGGAGUGAAGAGCUGCUCUUCCGCUCCGCCAUCUGGGUAAAGCUGAACAACCGUGGCCGAGCCUAGUCUUGAGCCUUAGUCAAAGGAUCUGUGGUUGGAUAAUCCCCCAAAUAGUUGAAAGCUGUUUAAGGCUCAAGAAAACACUAAAAGGGGAUUGCAUUCAUUUCUCAGAGCAAAGCUUACACAAAUCUCUCCCUAAGGAGGACCAGCUACAUAAUUUGCGGAGCCCAGUGCAAAGUGAAAAUGCAGAGCCCUUUAUUUAAAAAUUAUAAGAAUUUCCAGAGAGCAACAGCAGAGCAUUAAACAAGGUGCAGAGCCCUUUGGAGGCUGGGCCCUGUGUGAUUGCACAGGGUGCAUGCCCAGGAAACCAGUGGUGCCCUGGGCUUCUAUCUCAUCACCAGCAUCCUCUCUCUCUCUCUCUCUCUCAGACACAAGGGGGCUACCUCAAGUAUCUGUCCUCUCCUUCUUCCAAGUGUCCCCCACAUUCUUUCCCAAGCCAGUUCUGCAGAAACCUACCUAGUCUUUCUCUAUAUGACUCCAUCUCCGUGUGUUAUCCCAUAGCUCCACUUGGCCUCUUGCCUCCUUCACUCUCCCCUAUUUACCUGGCCCAGAUUCAGUGCUAUAAAGAAUAUUGCAGCUCAUGAGAUCUAGUCUUCCUUAUAGGCAGAGGCAUGAGGGAGAGGUUUAGAACACUUAAGUAUAUCUGUUAGUACUUUAUUUAUUCAUAUGUGUUCAUUAUUGACAUGUAUCAUUUGUUAUCAAGUGUUGGCGGUUAUUUGCCAUCCAUAAAAUGCAACUGCUUUCUAGCUCUGAGAAUUUCUGUUCUAAAGUAGGCAACAAAGAUGAUGAUAGAUAGAUAGCAGCUAUUAUGCACCCACUAUGUGCUUGCUAGUAAAGGUCCUGAACCUUUUACACACAUUAGCUCCUUUAGUCCUCCCUGCCAUGUGAGGGAUUUAUUAAUAUUAUUUCCAUGUGUGCAUGAGGAACUGGAGCUUAGAGAGGCUGUGGACUUGUCCUCUUUCACAGCCCCACCAUCUGGUUCUCCAGCUUGGGUUCUUGGUCCUAUCAAGCUAUGCUGCAAACAAAUGAGAAUGAUUAGCUGUUCUCCCCACACUGCCUCUCUGCCAGGCAUAAAUAGAUUCUUAAUUAAUAUUUGCUGAAUAAAUGAAUGUGUUAGUUAUUAGGUAAGACAAGGAGAUGAAGAUGAAAACAUAUAAAAUAGAAAAGAAUAGGCUAAUUCUGGUCAGAGAACUGUGUACAAGUUCCAGUAAUUCCUUAAUUCUCUUGUUCGUGGAGAUUUAAGUAGCAAUUGCUGAACAUCCCCUUCUGUUUGGGGGAUCAGAGGCCUGGUCCAGUUCAUCUUUAGAUUCCCCACAGGCCUCACAUGGCACCAACUAGCUGCUCAACUAAUUCCCUUAAUUGAAUUAAUUUGAAUUGAAUGGAAUUAAAUUGAAUCAGAACUUUUUUUGUAAGAAGCUGGCUUUAAGCAGAGAGAGAUUUAAAUGUAGAUUAAACAGGCUCAAUCACUCUUUAGAAGUACACAAAAUAACUGUGAACAGACCCCAAACAACUUCAGAUACCAAGCCUUCCAUAAAAGCUUCCAAGCCUCCAGGUACCUGGCCUGAGCUUGCUCAUUUUCCAACAGUGAUUAAGGGGUUACAUGAAGUCUUUAAAUUCUGCCACACUCCCAUGAAUGGGUAUUAAAUAAUAUUCCUUUAAGCUACCGGAACUGCUGCAUGGGGAUUCUGCCUCAUCUUUAUGGAUGCGUUGUCAUAAUUUCUAGAAUUAUAGAACUCAACUCAUACCUCCAUAUAUCCCAAGGAAACAAUAUAAGAAGUUUUUCUUCCCUCUCAGCUCAGAGCAUAUAAAAUGAUCUCUCACUACUCUGAAUUAGAGCAGAUGAAUUUAAAGACACUUUCUUGAAUAAACCUCUGGGUUGGGCUUAGGGGAUAAGUUCACUGUUCUGGCAGGCCUCUGUUUCCAAGGAAAACACAAAGGUGAGAAUGUUGUGCACCGAGACUGAGAUGUUCCACACACCACUGGCUGCCUUACCUCUUGCCCCAAACAGCACAAGGAGAGGGAGACAGUAUUGCUCUCAAAAGCUGGUAGUUGGAGGCAUCCCCUCCCCUCUAUUUCUUCCCCUGCCCAUACCCUGUUCCUUGGCCCCCACCCCUUGUAAUUCACAAAGCAAGAUCCAAACCAGGUUCUAACAUAGUCCUGUAAGAUGGGAGCAGCAGUCAUCUUGGUCACCACUCACCCCAUACAAACACACUGUCCAAGAUACAGAAACCAAAGUACAGCUCAGGUAAGUAGCACUAUGGUCUCACACCAGGCACUGUCAAAGUGCAGGGAUUCACACCUCAAAUGUUUCAGUCACUAUUCAGUAAGUUGAGAUUUUUUCCAAUUGGACCCUCAGGCUCACAUCCCCAAAUCCCUAGACAAACCCAGUAAAGACAUAGGAACCUGCAUCAUUAUUGUGUCUCCCAAUUAUUGAGAGCUUACUAUCUGCAAGGAUAAGUAGCAUGCUCAAGGUUCUGUGGACAGCUCAAGAUCCCAUGCAAAGUCCAAGGUCCCAUGGGCAGCUCCAGGUCCCAUGUAUAGCAGGAGGCAAAAACGGAACUGGAGCCCAGGUCCAUCUGACCCCAAGGGCAUAUAUAAAAGCACUGAAGUAUGUUGCCUUUCUAUAGAAACAUUAACCCUUCAGCAGAUAGCUGUUGAAUGAUUGUAGAUGAAACUGAUCUUGGAGGAGAGAGAGUAGAGCAAUCAUUUACAAAGAAAAAGGGAACUGAUCCAUGGGUUGGUCUAUCCUAAGGGCUCUGUUCAUGCCCCAACUUCCAGAAUGGGGAGUCCAGGCACCUCCUGGUGCUUCCCUCCUUCAACCAGGUGUGCGUGUGCACACACAUCCACACAAACACACCCCAGAACUCCAAAGAAGGUUUUACAAAUUAUUUACUUCAACCUUUACUGAGUCUAAAGAAUACUAAGGCUUUGGGUAUAGUGCCCAGCCUCUAAGGAUUUUUAGGGCAUCCCUGCAGGGCCAACACUUCAGCUAUAGAACCUCUCAUUCACAUUCUCUUCCCAUCUCCAAACAUCCCUCUUUCCUUCCAGCUCCUUUUUUUCCUCCACCCUAAUACCACUUCCACUUUGUGGGUUGGCAGUCAUUCUCUCUUCUACCCAGUUCUGUUCCUAAGGAGAGGGAAACUUCAAAUCAUGAGGAUGAAAAAAGGGAUAGAGGCUCUGGGUAGAUUAUUUUUUAUUAUUAUUAUACUUUAAGUUUUAGGGUACAUGUGCACAAUGUGCAGGUUUGUUACAUGUAUAUACAUGUGCCAUGUUGGUGUGCUGCACCCAGUAACUCAUCAUUUAAUAUUAGGUAUAUCUCCUAAUGCUAUCCCUCCCAACUCCCC